rnacentral:lncRNA from 1 species
UGCAGUGAGCCGAGAUCAUGCCACUGCACUCUGGCCUGGGUGUCAGAGCAAGACUCCGUCUCAAAAAAAAAAAAAAAAGAUUAAAUGAAUCAUAAGAAUGGGGCCUUAAUCUGAUAGAAUUGUGGCCUUUUAAGAAGAGGAAGAAAGAGAAAAAGAGAAACAUCUGUCUCUUUCUCUCUCUUAACCGUGUGAGGACGCAGGGAGAACGUGGCCAUCUGCAAAUCAAGGAGAGAGUCCUCAUCAGACAUUGACCCUGCUGUCACCUUGAUCUUGGACUUCCAGUGCCCAGAACUGUGAGAAAAGAAGUGUCUGUUGUUUCAGCCACUCAGUUGAUGGUGUUUUAUUAUGGCAGCAUAAACAGACUACUGUAGGAGCUUAGACUCUGGGUCCUGAUACAUAUCGGAUCCUGAUGCUUAUCAAAUCCAGGCUCCUUCCUUGAAUGUGUGACCUUUGGCCAGGUUCUCGACUUCUCUAUGCCUCAGUUUACUCCUCAGUAAAAUGGAGAUAAUAAUAUUACUUAUCACCUCAGUAAAAUGGAGACAAUAAUAUUACUUACCAUCUAGGUUUAUUUUGAGACUUAAAUAACUUAAUGUAUGUAAAGUAUUUAUAUUGUGAGUGCAAAAUAAAUUAACUAUUAUAAUAGUCCCUAAUGUACUUAAUAUCUAACUGCAAACAUUGCCAAGUUUUCUUCUUGUCCAAAGUCACAACAGUUUUCUUUAGGAAAUUUUCCAUACAAAGUGGGGCACAUUUUCACUGGGUUCUUUAAGAUGAGAUAAUAAAAAAUGAUACGUUAGAAAAUUUUCCUUAUGGCAUCAGUCUUCUCUGACAGAUUGCAGCUUCAUAAAGGCAAAAACUCUUGAUUUUCUUUUUAACCCACAUAAGCCCUUAAUAAAAUACCCAUUACAUGUAGUUGAAGUAAGAAAAGCUGGAAGUGAGGAAUGGAGGAAAGAAGAAAAGAGGGGCACAAAAUAUUUCAUUAAAUGUUUUAAAAAUCCCCAGAAAUUCAGAAUACAUGAAUAUAGGCUGACAUUAAAGCAGAUGUACGUCUCGUGCAGAACACACAGUGAGGAAACAAAAUGGCAAGAGCAAAGCUAAAGAAAACUACCAAAUUUGCAUUUUCAUUAAUUCAGCCUUAAAUGUAACUUUGUGUCACUGAAUAAGUGACUUACUUCCUAAACAUGACGGUCAGACAGGAAAUCACUUUUCUUGUGAUUAGCAUAAUGCUUAUAUUGUUUUUUUAGCUACAGUCUAAUCAUUACAAAGAACUACUCGUUGUGUCCAUAUUAAAAUUAAAAGUACCUUGCCAUAACAAAAGCACAUUCUAAGCCUUUCGAAAUGUCAACAUAUUAAAAUAUAUUAAAGCAA